UUUGGGGGGCGGGGGCUGCUCGUGUUGCUAAUGCGUGUGACUACUUGUGCUUUAGUGACGCCGCAGAAGAAGAACAUCUGCCGGUUCGAAAAUGAUAGUUACAAAAUGUAAUUUAGCGUUGAUGGAAGAAUGGUUACGAUAACAAUGACGGUGUGACAGACAGGCUGACGUGCCUCAAAUUGCCAUGUUCUGUCUUGAUUGCGUUUCAGGUCCAGCUGGAGUGCAGGCGCACCUGUGCUGCGUUUCCUCAUCAAGCCUAGCCUUGUAUUGAAGGACUGAUUUCUACUACGCCUUGUUGAAUUAUUGACCUUGUUUGCCGCUGUGCUUCAAGUGGGAUUUUUCUAGACCUCGCUCGAUACACUUCAGACUCGCUCUUGUUUUGUUCACCUAUAUUCUUGUUUGUACGGUCCACUGAAAGGUGGAGCGCACCGCAGCCAACGUCGGAUAAAAGGCAGGAUCCGUUAGACCGAGGACACGUACAGUGUAGAGACAGUGGAGGAGCCGGCUUGCUUCUGCGGGCUGAUGGUUUAUGCUCUCCUCUCCGAGGCUGAAAUGAACGGGAAUGUUGUUUACCUCCCAGCGCAGCGGGCCAUCGCCAAGACCAACAGAUAAAAACAGACACAAUCUCCACGAUGGGAUUCAGGCGGCUGGUGCAGGGUUCGAUUCCGGCUCUGGCCUUCCUGUGUGGAAUUUCUCCCCCAUGCCUGGGAGAGCAUGCCUCUCCUCUCAUCUGCUCUCCAACCUACAUCCCCACCUCCAAGCAACAGUCCACGGCACACAGAGACAGAAAAUGGAGCACGGAGACACCACGGCCCCAGCGUGAGACAGGAAACAAAUGGGGCUUCCUGGCGCUUUUAAUGUGUCAGUGCCGAAGCGGCGUUGUGUGUUCAUGGUUCCCAACUACGGUUGUUGACCCAGAAAUGGAGAAAUGUUUCACUACUUUACUAACAAUUUGCCCCGCUAUUACUUGUUCACUCUUCUGGCAGAUUUGGUGCCUUGCCUUAUGGUUAGUUGCCAUAGCAUUACAAUCUAUCCAAAUUAUUGCAUAGAUUGCUGCAUACGGAAUAUGCAUAUUGAUGGAUAAGUGGUGCUCGGACUUCAUCUCUUCACUCGAAUCCCUUCAAGAUAUGAAAUCCAUUGUAUUCUUACAUAAAUGAACAUUUUAGAUUGAUUGACAGGUGUGUGGAGUGCAUUUAUUGACGCCACUUUACUUCAAUGGAAAUAUACUUUUCAUGUUGCUCCUCUGCUCCAAAUAUUAUUUUAUGCGUGAUAUAAAGGAGGAUCAAAACGGGCCCUUGCACACUGAGCAAUUUUCUCCAGGAUGUUAAGUGCGACUUCUAAAAUGUUUUAGUUGUAGCGUUCAGCCAGGUUGUCACAUAAAAAUAACAUGACUGUAAUCUGUGCACCCGUCAUCUCUCUGAACUUCUGGAGGGAGAGAAUUUAAAGCUCAUUGUGCGCUAAAUCUAUUUUUGCUGCAUUUUUCCAGACAGCGGAAAUCGGUGCAUCCCUCUGCCCGGAGGCACUGCCAACCCACCUGAAGGAAUCUCAUUAGAGGCGGUUUCAGCUGAACUUGGCUAAUGUCUGACAGUCGACAUGCUGUUUCAGAGGCUUUUCCACGCUGAUGAUUUGAAGGGAGCUGCUGUGUGGUAAAAAAGAGGAUAAGUAUGGAUUUUAGACUCAACAAAAAUAGCAUUGUCUCCAAAAAGCCAAGCUUUUUUACGCCCAUUAACCGAGACAAAAGGUGAAAAUGUAAAGUGCCCACAUCAGCUAUAAUGAGCUGCAAGCGCAUGCUGCGCGGCAGGCGCAGGAGCUCGCACUGCUAUAACUUGGUUACUGCACUAUAGCUGGAUGAGGCUGACAAAGCAUAUAGAGACAGACAGCGCAGACACACUGAGGAUAAAGAGAGAGAACAAUUAAAAAAAAAACGACGAGUAUUCAUCGGCUUGAAAUCGCCUCUCUCAGCUCUCUGGCUGGAGAACAAGCAGGGGUCCACAAUGGCCAGCAGAUUCCCCCGGAUUUGGAACACAAAGGCUGGGCAGCCGUCCACUCAAUCACCCUGAAAAUGCCACCCUCACCUAGCCGCAUGCGCUCCGUCCACACGGCCAAUCAUCCAAUGAACUUGCUAUCAUAACAGUUUUUGCAACCUGGAGUAAGUGAAAAAGUACGAUUUUCUGAAGAGGUCACCUGCAAAAGCGUCACUUGUGACUGUCAAGGAUUUUCUUUGCAGUGUUUCUGUUUGUUAGUCGUGUUGUCGGUCAAACCGAUGGCCGCAGGAGUAAGACAUGGUGCAGAUCGCAGGUUCUCGGUUUUAAUUACGACUGACUUUCUUGUGUGAAGUUUGCAGGUUCUCCCUGUGCUUGUGUGGCUUUUCUUUGGGUAUGCCAGCUUCCUUCGUGGUUGGAUGAGAAGUGUUAUUAAUUUUGCUGGCGGUUGACAGACAAUCGGGGUGCCAUUCUAAGAGUAGUCUGCCUUAUAACCAGACAUUUUCCUUCAUCAAUCUUUUGUCAAAAACAUGCAGUAGCACCUCACUGUUAGAAAACCUUUCCUAAGAAGUAAUUUUUAGAUGAGAGUGAAAUGGUUUAGAAUCAGUCAAGUAUAUCACUUAUUCUCACACUACUACAAUUAGGGUGAGGUUAAGUUAGGACAUUGAAUCAUUUUGAAGAAUAUGAAAUUGUCAUUGUGACCUCACUAUGACUACAAAAACCCAUGAAUAACAC